rfam:Hordeum vulgare subsp. vulgare, WGS project CAJW01000000 data, contig: morex_contig_1535851
AGAAGCCGUAUGAAGCUAAGGUUUCAUGUACGGUUUUGAAAUAGCGGUGGGAACUGUGAUGUUAUCAUCGACUAUGAU